UUGCAGGUUCUAGUUACAAUGUAGCUGCAAAGUGCUGUAUUGUCGUUCCCCCUGCUCAAAGUAAAAAUUGUUUCAUACUAUCCCUGUCUACCUAGAUGAUUGUGGUAAGACAGGGACGCUUGGUUUCAAACAU